AGCAGCCGCGGUAAUUCCAGCUCCAAUAGCGUAUAUUAAAGUUGUUGCAGUUAAAAAGCUCGUAGUUGAACUUCGGGAUUUGCCCAUUGGUCAGGCUUAACUGUCUGCACUGGUGUGACGAGUUCCUACCUUCUGAGGAAUCUCCAUGUCAUUCAGUUGGUGUGGGGGGAAAUCAGGACUGUUACUUUAGAAAAAAUUAGAGUGUUUAAAGCAGGCGUCCGUCUGAAUACAUUAGCAUGGAAUAAUAAAAUAGGACGGUUUGGUUCUAUUUUGUUGGUUUCUAGGAUCACCGUAAUGAUUAAUAGGGAUAGUUGGGGGCAUUAGUAUUCAAUUGUCAGAGGUGAAAUUCUUGGAUUUAUUGAAGACUAACUACUGA
rnacentral:rRNA from 1 species